rnacentral:rRNA from 1 species
AUUGAACGCUGGCGGCAUGCUUUACACAUGCAAGUCGAACGGUAACAGGGAGCUUGCUCCGCUGACGAGUGGCGAACGGGUGAGUAAUGCGUCGGAACGUGCCGAGUAGUGGGGGAUAACGCAUCGAAAGGUGUGCUAAUACCGCAUACGUACUGAGGUAGAAAGUGGGGGACCUUCGGGCCUCACGCUAUUCGAGCGGCCGACGUCUGAUUAGCUAGUUGGUGAGGUAAAGGCUCACCAAGGCGACGAUCAGUAGCGGGUCUGAGAGGAUGAUCCGCCACACUGGGACUGAGACACGGCCCAGACUCCUACGGGAGGCAGCAGUGGGGAAUUUUGGACAAUGGGCGCAAGCCUGAUCCAGCCAUGCCGCGUGUCUGAAGAAGGCCUUCGGGUUGUAAAGGACUUUUGUCCGGGAGCAAAUGCCUGGUGUUAAUAGCAUCGGGAGCUGAGAGUACCGGAAGAAUAAGCACCGGCUAACUACGUGCCAGCAGCCGCCGUAA